UGCGCUUUUGGGAUAUACCUGACAGCAUGCCUGGUUUGGCGUCUUCU
rnacentral:rRNA from 1 species